rnacentral:lncRNA from 1 species
AUGUUGUUGCUAUGUCUCUAGAUAUAGCGUGUUGUUGAAUGCGAUUAAGAAGUUGUCUAUAUACUUUUGGUUAGAGAGUUCUUCCUCUAACUUAGGUGUUAAUCCUCCACAAGUAGUUUCUCAAGUUUGAUCUAAUCUAUAACUCCCAGCUUUAUGAAGUUUGAAGAGAGUACAAAUGUAAGAAUAAGAAAAAGAAGUGAGUGAGAAGGAGAUUAAGUGAAUAUAAGAGUUUGUGAGAGUGAAAAGGGGUGAAAGAUGGAGAGGGAAGGGUUUAAAAACCCUUUCAAAUGGAUCUAAUCAUUGGAAAGGUCAUGUAUGAGUUGUUCGUUGGUAACGGUUAAAAUAUUUUGAUACCGGCCAGUAACAGUCGGAUUUCAAUCGUUACCGAGUGAUACAGGCCCAUAUCGAGCGAUACAGAGUCUUCUAGUAUAUAUCACCUGAUACAGGAUGAUCUGUGCAUCGAUCCCCUGUUGGAUCGAUACGUAUCGCUUAUACCGGACGGUAUACCUCUAUAUGGCGAACCUUGGUAUAAAGUGACACUUUACACUAAUCUCUCUCUCUCUCUCUCUCUCUCUCUCUAACACACACAUACAAAUGUCUAUUUACCUCCAGUUUCUGUGGUUCCCUUGGUUAUGAAGCUUGAUACUAUCUUUCUAAUGGACAUCGGGUUGGACACUCUUCACUUAAUAGUCUCUGCACAUGUAUUGACUCUUGACCACCCAGCAAGCAAUUCAAAGUCAGUAUUGACUCUUGAGCAUAUGUACACCUGAGACUAAUUCUCCCAAACCUUAUAUUAUGUGAAAGCAGGUGAUUGGGGGAUGUGUGCCCUAUUUUGUCAUGGACUGCAAAAACUCACCUCUAAGUUGGUUGACUGGCACCCUCUACGAUGUGGCUUAACCUGUCAAUUCUGAUCCCAACUUAUGUCUUCCAAUAAUAGUGCCAACCCCUAUCUUCAAACUUCAUUAUAGUCUCAAAACCAAUUCCAUUGCAUUCAGUAGUCAUCGGAGGAUGUUGAAUAGGCAUAGAAAUGAUUUUUCACCAACAGCAAUUGCAUAGCUUAUCUUAGUCUGGAAGUGGUUUAAUUUGCUAUUAUGCUUCUGACUUGUUUGUUGAUGAGGAUAGUAAUUAUGAUAAGACUCGGCUGACGUCAGCCGACGCCUCACGCCUCGAUCGACGCGACAGCACCUGGUCAAACGGACCGGAACACCGGCCGAGGCGCAUUAACGCCUACUCAGGCUCGGUUCUUCACGCCACGCAACGCCAGUGUCAGACGCCACCAUCUGCCCCUGCAAGCGGGCACAUCAAACAACAGUAAGCUUCCCUAUAAAAGCCCUGGCUUCCGAACAGGAAAGGGGCCCGGGGCGGAGGAGAAAAAACUCUUCUUCUUCCGAAAUCCCCUCCACUGUCUUCUAACUCGAUCGUCGGAGGGGUCGGGUCGAGUCUCCCGACCCGACCUUUGUGCAGGAGAGAAGCCGAAGGUCUCCGCUAGACGCGCGGGCGAGGAGUUCCUACCCGGAGGAAAAGGCGACCCCGUCCCGAUCGGACACCGCGUGCGACCACCUCGGCGGACUCGAAACCCGUCAUGGGAAGAUUCCCCGUCACCCGGACUCGAACCGAGCCGCGUCGGCCCCGAGGCCACGGCUCCAGGUUGUUUACCACAACAGAUUGGCGCUAGAAGGAGGGUCCGGAAUGUCGGGUGAUCACCCGAGCGGCUCAGACGAGCCCACGGCUGACAGGUCGCACCCGACCGAAGCCUCAGGGAAACAUCCCCCGCACGGAGACCAUCGUGACGAACACGCUGCCACGACCUCAGAACGACAUUGGCAAAUAUUCGACGACCCGGGAUUGUUACCGCCCGACGGCGCCCCCGCCGACUCGACGCCCGUGUCACCCGAGGCCUUUCAGGACCUCGCUCGUCAAGUCCGAGCUCUGAUGGAUGUGGUGCAAACCAUCAUCCCGCUCGUUCCUCAUUCGGCGCACCCACCUGCAGUCCAACCACUGCGACAAUACGAGCCGCCCGUUCGGGCCCACACAAAACUUCCGGAGCCCCCCACCUCGCCUCGGGUCCGACCGGCCCCACUCGGGGAUCCAGUGAUGGCAAACCCGAGCGGCCGCCCGGAACCCGAGGCACUCUCUUCGGACUCCCUGCGGGCCCAGUUGCGCUUCGUCAGCCAGCGACUCGACGAAGUACAGAAUGAGGUUCGUAGGUCCAAGGGAGAGCUCGGGGAGGACCCGCGCCAAGGGUCUCCCUUCACGCCCGAGAUACGGGAUCAAACAGUCCCCCCGGACUUCCGACUCCCCUCUCUGAACACUUACGAUGGCUCCACUGACUCGGCGGACCAUGUAGCUGCUUUUCGCGCCCAGAUGGCGCUAUGCGGGACCUCUAAUGCCUUGAUGUGCAGAACGUUCCCUACCACGCUGAGAGGGCCUGCCCACUCGUGGUAUGGCGGCUUGAAGACCGGAACGAUCGCUUCCUUCGACCAGCUCGUCAAGGACUUCGAGCCCCACUUCGUGGCCUAUGCACGGCCGAAGCCUUCCGCGACACUGCUCCUUGGACUCAAACAAAGGGAGGACGAGCCCCUCUCCCAUUUCGUGGAUCGUUUUGCCACGCAAAUCCGGGGCCUGCCAGACACUCACCCCUCUCUGUUAGUGCAGGCGUUUAUGAUAGGCCUGCGACCUUCCAGAUUCCUCUGGUCCCUCGCAGAGCAACCUCCCACCACGGUGCCAGAGAUGCUCCAGCGCGCUAACCGGUACAUCGCCGCGGAGGCCUGGGCGGCCGUGGGGAGAAGCGACGGCACCCGAUUGCGGGCUCCAUAAGAGAGGUCAAGCACCCGCGGUGGCUACCCGAUGUAGUCCUCGUGAAAAGAAAUCUAAGCCCUGCCUCGGCCUCUUUCGAGCCAAGGUUCAGUAUCUACCUGACCCCCUCUCGGCUCGUGGUUAGCCUCAGCUUAAAAUUUUCUGAAUCUACACGGCUCGGCCAUAGAUUGCCGAGCCCACCUCAGGGCGGCUUGCCCACCUGAGGUGCAUCUCUCGGCCAUAGACUACCGAGUCCACCUCAGCGCGGCCUGCUCGCUUACGCUGAGCUCCUCGGCCACAUCGCCCCAGGCCAUGCCUGUGUGACCUGUUGCCCGAGCCCCACUCCUCGGCCACAGCCCGCCUGCGCCGAGCUCCUCGACCGCAGCCUACCUGCGCCGAGCUCCUCGACCGCAGCCUGCUUGCUCCGAGCUCCUCGGCCGCGUUGCCCCAGGCCAUGCCUGCGCGACCGGCCGCCCGAGCCACACUCCUCGGCCAUGUUGUCCGAGUCCACCUCAGCGCGGCCAGCCCGGUUGAGCCGUGUCCCUCGGCCACAGACCGAUCGAGUCCACCUCAGCGCGGCCAGCCCGGCUGAGCCAUGUCCCUUGGCCUGAGCCAUACUCCUCGGCUGCAUGUUGCCCGAGACCACGCCUGCGCGGCCUGCCCGCCUGCGUCGUGCUACUCGGCCGCAUGAUGCCCGAGACCACACCUGCGCGGCCUACCCGCCUGCGUCGUGCUACUCGGCUCUAUACUCCCCGAGACACACCUGCGCGGCCAGCCCGCCUGCGUCGUGCUCCUCGGCUCCAUGCUUCCCGAGACACACCUGCGCGGCCAGCCCGCCUGCGUCGUGCUCCUCGGCUUUAUGCUUCCCGAGACACACCUGCGCAGCCAGCUCGCCUGCGUCGUGCUCCUCGGCACCAUGCCCCCCGAGACACACCUGCGCGACCAGCCCGCCUGUGUCGUGCUCCUCGGCUCUAUGCUCCCCGAGACACACCUGCGCGGCCAGCCCGCCUGCGUCGUGCACCUCGGCACCAUGUUCCCUGACACCGCGCCUACACGGCCUGCCCGAAAGCUGAAGCCAUGCCUCGGACUCCUGUUACAACGACCGACGCAUAGCUUCUUUCCGGGGGAGAAUAUGAUGAGGAUAGUAAUUAUGAUAAGACUCGGCUGACGUCACCCGACGCCUCACGCCUCGAUCGACGCGACAGCACCUGGUCAAACGGACCGGAACACCGGCCGAG